rnacentral:pre_miRNA from 3 species
UCUUAUGGAUGAGCAAAUGAAGUGGUUUCAUGAGAUGAAAUUUAUUCCUGUUGAAGAUUCUGUGAA